rnacentral:piRNA from 2 species
CCACGCGGGAGGCCCGGGUUCGAUUCCCG